UUGUGGAGUGGAUCUGACAAGUGUUCAAUGAGGUUCUGCACAGGGCCCUUGCCGGUUACAGCUGCCUGGACGUAGAAUCCAAUCCAGGCAACCAUUGCCAGGCGACCGUUCUUGAUCUCCUUCACCUUGAGUUCUUCAAACGCAACAGGGUCUUUGGA